GUGCUCAUGUGGGCAGCACAUAUACUAAAAUUGCAACGGUACAGAGAAGAUUAGUAUGCACAGGGAGGACACACAAAAAUUCAUGAAGUGUUCCAUAUUUUU